GCGGCGGCUGCCGCAGGACCUGCAGCAUCCCAGAGGUUUUUCCAGAGCUUCUCAGAUGCUCUAAUCGACCAGGACCCCCAGGCGGCGUUAGAGUUGCUGUUGCUGAUGUAAAGAAGUCUCGUGAACUCAAUCCAAAUAAUUCCACUGCUGUGCUGAGAAAAGGGUGCAGAUUUUAAUUUCAGUGACUGAAUUAAAAGGUGUCAAGAAGCUCAGAAUGGUAUGGAAAAUCGAGGACCAGGGAGAGUACCUUGCCAGCAAUUUUGUAGUUAUGAUUUUCGAUGAAGAGCUGCACAGUAAUAGGGGAAAUUCUGAAUGGUAUUCAAGUCCUCCAGCCAGCAGCAGCAGGAUGUGGUUUUCAAUGUGCACUAUGCAAGUAGCGCUUCAGAUGGAGCUUAUUCUUAUUUUUAAUUUAUUUUUUAUUUUAUUAAUUCAUUUGUUUUUAUAUAUUUUAAGAUUUAUUGACAUAAAAAUUAUAUAUGGUGUACAAUUUGAUGGUUGAUAUGCACAUGCGUUGUGAAAUGAUCAUCAAAAUCAAGAUAAUUAACACAUUAUCACCUCUCCGUAGUUACUAUUUUGUGGAUGCAUGUGUUUUUAUUUUAUUUCUGAAAUAAUUUUAGACUUACAGAAAAUUUGAAGAAAUAGUACAGAGUUCACAUAUUUCUACCACUUUGCUUCCCUGAUGUUAAAAACUUAUAUAACUGUAGUUCAGUAAUCAAAAUGAGGAAAUUAACUUUGAUACAAUACUAUGAAUUAAACUAUAGCCCUUUGAUUUUCACCAUCUCCUCCCACCCCUACCAUGCCUUUUUAAUAUUCCAGGAUAUAAUCUAAGAUGCCACGUUGCAUUCAUUCGUGUCCCCUCAGUUUCCUCCAAUCUGUGACAGUUGUUCCGUAUUUCCUUGUCUUUCAUGGACUCUUGAUGAGUACUGGCCAGCUUUUUUGUAGAAUGAUCCUCAGUUUGGUUUUGUCCACGUUUUCCUCAUGAUUAGACUAAGGUGAUGUGUUUGGGGGAAGAAGAUCACAAGGUGAAAUGCCCUUGUUAUUUCCUAUCGGGGUACAGGAUGCCAACGUGGCUUAUUAGUGAUAUUUACCACGAUCACUUGGUUAAGGUGGAAUCUCCCAGGUUUCAUUACUGUAAGUUACUUUUCUCCCUUUGUAAAUGAUAAACAUCUUGGAGAGAUGCUUUAGACUGUGCUAGCAUCCUGUUUCUUCUCAAACUUUUGCCUGCUGGUUUUCUCAUUCAUUGGUGGAUCUUGUCAACAGUUACUACUGUGGUGGUCUAGUGGGGAUUUUGUAUUUUACUCAUUCCUUCUACAUUGAUUAAUUGGAAUUCUGUAAGGAAGAAGUGUCUCUUCUCUCAUACAUUUAUUUAUUGAAUUAUUUAUUUAUGUCCCUAUGGAUUUAUGGAUAUUUAUUUUGUCCUAUGGGAUUAUGUUAUUUCUUGCCUUGCUGUAAAGGAAUACCUGACACUGGGUAAUUCCUAAAGAAAAGAGGGCCAGGCAUGGUGGCUCACUCCUGUAAUCCCAGCACUUUGGGAGGCCAAAGCGGGCCAAUCGCUUGAGGUCAGGAGUUCAAGACCAGCCUGGCCAACAUGGUCAAACCCCAUCUCUACCACAAAUACAAAAAUUAGCAGGGCAUAGUAGCACAUGCCUGUAGUCCCAGCUACUCGUGAGGCGGAGGCAGGAGAAUUGCUUGAACCUGGGAGGUGGAGGGUGCUGUGAGCUGAGAUUGUUCCACUGCACUCCAGCCUGGGUGACAGAGUGAGACUCCAUCAGAAAAAAAAAAGAAAAAUUUAUUUUGGCUCAUGGUUCUGCAGGCUGUACAGGAAGUGCUUUUUUAACUCCUCAAGCUGCAACAUUAAAUGCAGAGUCCCUACUUAGUGGGCCCAAGUCAAUAAAUUCAGCCUGAUCUAAGGAAGGAGACCACCUCUCUUAUUGUCUCAUACCUCAGAAAAAGAAUGAGGAAGUAAA
rnacentral:lncRNA from 1 species